ensembl:snoRNA
UGUCAAAAAUUCCCCAAUCCUAUUUCUGACACCUCAUAUGAAAGCUGCACAUGCAGUCUUAUUAUUAUUUUGCAAGCCUGGGGCUU